ACAUGCCUACAACAUAGCGUUAAUGCACUGGAUCCCAUUAGAACUCCGUAGUUAAGCACAUUCAGGCUAGAGUAGUACUGGGAAGGGUGACCGCCCGAGAAUCCCUACAGUUUUACAUGCC
rnacentral:rRNA from 1 species